ACGAACGCUGGCGGCGUGCUUAACACAUGCAAGUCGAACGGAAAGGCCCUGCUUUUGUGGGGUGCUCGAGUGGCGAACGGGUGAUUAACACGUGAGUAACCUGCCCUUGACUUUGGGAGAACUUCAUGAAACUGGGGCUAAUACCGGAUAGGAGCUCCUGCUGCAGGGUGGGGGUUGGAAAGUUUCGGCGGUUGGGGUUGGACUCGCGGCGUAUCAGCUCGUUGGUGGGGUAGUGGCUUACCAAGGCUUUGACGGGUAGCCGGCCUGAGAGGGUGACCGGCCACAUUGGGACUGAGAUACGGCCCAGACUCCUACGGGAGGCAGCAGUGGGGAAUAUUGCACAAUGGGCGGAAGCCUGAUGCAGCAACGCCGCGUGCGGGAUGACGGCCUUCGGGUUGUAAACCGCUUUCGCCUGUGACGAAGCGUGAGUGACGGUAAUGGGUAAAGAAGCCCCGGCUAACUACGUG
rnacentral:rRNA from 1 species